rnacentral:rRNA from 1 species
UACAGAGGGUGCAAGCGUUAAUCGGAAUUACUGGGCGUAAAGCGCGCGUAGUCGGUUAUUUAAGUCGGAUGUGAAAUCCCCGGGCUCAACCUGGGAAUUGCAUUCGAUACUGGAUAGCUAGAGUUCAGCAGAGGGAAGCGGAAUUUCGGGUGUAGCGGUGAAAUGCGUAGAUAUCCGAAGGAACAUCAGUGGCGAAGGCGGCUUCCUGGACCAGAACUGACGAUCAGGCUCGAAAGCGUGGGGAGCAAACAGG